UACGAAGGGGGCUAGCGUUGCUCGGAAUCACUGGGCGUAAAGCGCACGUAGGCGGAUUGCUAAGUCAGGGGUGAAAUCCUGGAGCUCAACUCCAGAACUGCCUUUGAUACUGGCGAUCUUGAGUCCGGGAGAGGUGAGUGGAACUGCGAGUGUAGAGGUGAAAUUCGUAGAUAUUCGCAAGAAUACCAGUGGCGAAGGCGGCUCACUGGUCCAUUACUGACGCUGAGGUGCGAAAGCGUGGGGAGCCGAACAGG
rnacentral:rRNA from 1 species